rnacentral:rRNA from 1 species
UACAGAGGCCUCGAGCGUUAGGCGGAAUCACUGGGCUUAAAGCGUGUGUAGGCGGACUUCUAAGUACCUUGUGAAAUCCCACGGCUCACCCGUGGAACUGCUCGGUAUACUGGUUGUCUUGAGCCACUUAGGGGCUACCGGAACAAAUGGUGGAGCGGUGAAAUGCGUAGAUAUCAUUUGGAACGCCAAUGGUGAAAACAGGUAGCUGGGAGUGUGCUGACGCUGAGACACGAAAGCCAGGGGAGCGAACGGG